rnacentral:rRNA from 1 species
GUCUAUAUGAAGCUAUAUAAAGUCUGACCUGCCCAUUGAAAUUUUAAAAGGCCGCGGUAUUCUAACUGUGCAAAGGUAGCAUAAUAAUUAGUUUUUUAAUUGAAAGCUUGUAUGAAAGGUUGGACAAAGAAAAAUCUGUCUUUAGUGUUAAUCUUGAAUUUUACAUUUAAGUGAAAAGGCUUAAAUUUAUUUAAGGGACGAUAAGACCCUAUAAAUCUUUACAUUAGUUUAUUUUUUAUUGGUUUAGAUUAUAAUUAAUUAGAAUAUAAAUAUAUGUUUUAUUGGGGUGAUAGAGAUACAAUUUAAUAACUGUUUUAACUUAAAACAAAUAUAUUUGAUUAAUCGAAAAGAUCCUUUUUAGAGAUUAAAAGUUUAAGAUACUUUAGGGAUAACAGCGUAAUUUUUUUUGAGAGUUCUUAUCGAAAAAAAAGUUUGCGACCUCGAUGUUGAAUUAAAAAUUCUUUACAGUGCAGAAGUUGUGAAGGAAAGUCUGUUCGACUUUUAAAAUUUU